UGGGGAAUAUUGCACAAUGGGCGCUAGCCUGAUGCAGCCAUGCCGCGUGUAUGAAGAAGGCCUUCGGGUUGUAAAGUACUUUCAGCGAGGAGGAAGGCGGUAAGGUUAAUAACCUUAUCGAUUGACGUUACUCGCAGAAGAAGCACCGGCUAACUCCGUGCCAGCAGCCGCGGUAAUACGGAGGGUGCAAGCGUUAAUCGGAAUUACUGGGCGUAAAGCGCACGCAGGCGGUCUGUCAAGUCGGAUGUGAAAUCCCCGGGCUCAACCUGGGAACUGCAUUCGAAACUGGCAGGCUAGAGUCUUGUAGAGGGGGGUAGAAUUCCAGGUGUAGCGGUGAAAUGCGUAGAGAUCUGGAGGAAUACCGGUGGCGAAGGCGGCCCCCUGGACAAAGACUGACGCUCAGGUGCGAAAGCGUGGGGAGCAAACA
rnacentral:rRNA from 1 species